UGCCAGAACUUUCUUUCUACACACCUGUGUCUUUUUAAGUAUGGAAAUCAAUCCCUCAGCCCAGCUUUAGGAAUCAGGAUCUGUUUUGUUGCAGAGUACAUGUGUGGACUAGAGUGGCACCAGAACUACUAGCAGCAAUGACUGAAGAAGGCAUGCAAAGGAAGCAUGGAUGAAGAUCUGUAGCAGAUACCCACAUAACUUGUAACUCACUUUGCACCUCUCACUUCUCCUGCCUGCUCUCCUGAUGGACUGAAGAGGCAUUGCCUGACCAUAUCUUUUGAGCCACUACAACUCUUCAACAUUAAUGUGAAGAGGAAGAUUAUGGAGGUUAACUUCAAGGAAGCUAGGCCUUUACACUGCUCGCAGAAACUUCUUGCUGCUGACAUCGAGGCCAAUGACAAAAGACCCAUUCUCUUCAAGAGAAGAAGAGCAGAACCAGCUUUUGCAAUACUGUUAGCCUGAAUAUUUUCUACCAAGACCUACAAGACCCCUGUCCUGCUCACAAGAACCCCUAUCCAG